GCUGUUACUCAAUUGAGAGAGAAAGACGAUUUGAAGGCAACUAUGGUAAUGAUAGAUCGUUUGGAGCCACCAGCACUGUCUCGGGUUAUAUAUUCAGUUCUGACAAAAAUUGUGGAUGCAGAGCACAUAUCAUCUACUGUACCCACUAUCAUAGCCCCUUUUCUUGUACCGGCAUCAAAGCUUAAGUUGGAAGGUAGAUUGAUGACAACAAAUAGUGGAAAGUUUCCUCUUUAUGGUAUCCAAGUAGGCCCUAAGACUGAUGUAAGUCGAGCCAUUGCUUCCAAAACCCAGAAGCCACCUCCAUCUUUGCAAAUUCAUUACGAGCCUCUGGCCUGCUUUCUUCACCUGGUUCGUGCUGCAGACUUGCCAACUUCUAUUAUAGUUGGCCAAAGAAGCCAAGCCCGUUUAAUCAAGCUAUAAAUGAGGAUCUGCAGACCCUCUGUGAGAUAGGAGAGGUUGCGGCAAGUGCGAUGGGGUUGUACUUCCAGAGAGAAGAAACUAAAACUAAUUGGAUUCCAACAGCUAAAGCAGCAAGUGGUGGUGGUGGAGAGCCAUGGCGCA